CUUGACACAGGAUAGAGUCAUCAGAGAGGAAGGAGUCUCAGUUGAGGAAAUGCCUCCCUGAGACCCAUCUGUAAGGCAUUUUCUCCAUGAGUGAUCAGUGGUGGAGAGCCUGGCACAUGCCCAGCAGACAUUUGCAGAAAACGUCUCACAUGCUCAUGAUUCCAGCAUUCAGGAGGUAGAGGCAGAAGGAUCAGAGUUUCAAGACAGUCUCAGCAAAAGGCACAGUGGCACGAAGCUGGAAGUCAGUAAGAAGAAUGAAAACUUCAUAAAUCAGUGUUGACUCAGGAGUGUGAGGACAAAUCCCAAAGCCUGGGCUGGAUCGCCACAUCUAUAUUUCCUGCCCUAUGAGAACCUCAAACUCAUAACAUUCUCACCACGUCAUUAUUGUUUUAACCUUACAAGUUGCAAAAUAGAAUCGAGUAAAAUUUAUAACCAUGGGAAACUGUGAACUGGAAAAACACAUUUUGUGAGUUUAAAUAAAAAUGUAUUCCCAUUGCCAGACCAUAAAUUUCAAGUAACAGCCAUCAAAGAAACAUGCUAAUUAGCAAAGACAGGAGAGAACAACCAAUUGGAAUGCAGCAUGCUAAUGUAGACAAGAGAGAGCAAUCAAUCAGGAAUGUCUGCUUACUGUUAGAAGCAAACGAUUUUAACUCUGCUGGUAAGAUGCGCCAACCAUCAAAGAU